rnacentral:rRNA from 1 species
CCUACGGGAGGCAGCAGUGGGGAAUCUUGCGCAAUGCGCGAAAGCGUGACGCAGCAACGCCGCGUGGGGGAAGACGGCCUUCGGGUUGUAAACCCCUUUCAGGAGGGACGAAGGCUCACCGGUGAAUAGCCGUGUGGGUUGACGGUACCUCCAGAAGAAGCUCCGGCUAACUACGUGCCAGCAGCCGCGGUAAUACGUAGGGGGCAAGCGUUGUCCGGAAUCAUUGGGCGUAAAGCGCGCGUAGGCGGCCCUGUAAGUCCGCUGUGAAAGUCAAAGGCUCAACCUUUGAAAGCCGGUGGAUACUGCAGGGCUAGAGUCCGGAAGAGGCGAGUGGAAUUCCUGGUGUAGCGGUGGAAUGCGCAGAUAUCAGGAGGAACACCAAUAGCGAAGGCAGCUCGCUGGGACGGUACUGACGCUGAGGCGCGAAAGCGUGGGGAGCG